CGUGUAGGCGGCUUGGUAAGUCAUAGGUGAAAGCCCUCGGCUCAACCGAGGAACUGCCUGUGAAACUGUCGUGCUUGAGUCCGGGAGGGGGGAGCGGAAUUCCCAGUGUAGCGGUGAAAUGCGUAGAUACUGGGAGGAACACCGGUGGCGAAGGCGGCUCCCUGGACCGGUACUGACACUGAGGUGCGAAAGCGUGGGUAGCAAACAGGAUUAGAUACCCUGGUAGUCC
rnacentral:rRNA from 1 species